rnacentral:rRNA from 1 species
UACGUAGGUGGCAAGCGUUUGUCCGGAUUUAUUGGGUUUAAAGCGUGCGCAGGCGGUUCGCCAAGUCAGGUGUGAAAUCCCCGGGCUUAACCUGGGAAUUGCGCUUGAAACUAGCGGGCUUGAGUGUGGCAGAGGGGGGGUGGAAUUCCACGUGUAGCAGUGAAAUGCGUAGAGAUGUGGAGGAACACCGAUGGCGAAGGCAGCCCCCUGGGUCAACACUGACGCUCAUGCACGAAAGCGUGGGGAGCAAACAGG